rnacentral:lncRNA from 1 species
GUCAAAUAAGACGAUGUCUACGGACAUCCAGGUUGCCUUCGGUUUAUGUUGCCUUCGGAUAAGAUGAUGUCUACAGACAUCCAGUUUACUUACAGUUCAGUCAGUGCCCUUGACAUUUGCCUCACGAGUUUUGGGGACACCCGGACCGUGAGUGCCAGGAUUGCGGAUCAGGCUGACUACGGUCUCCUGAUACCUGCCAGGAAAUUGCGGAUCAGGCUGACUACGGUCUCCUGAAUCCUGCCAGGAUUGCGGCUCGGAUACACUAUGUGUCGCCGAGACCUGCCAGGGGAAUUGACGGAUUUACAGAGGAAUUGACGGAUACCAGGAAUUGACGGAAUUAAAAGGGUACACCCAGUUGGUAACUUUAGAGGAAUUUCAGUGCAAUUAUGCAAAUAUUGAUUUCAGUGAUUUUACUUGAGUUUCUUAAUAUCGAGCAGCUUAUACAUCUGAGUAAAUAUAUAUAACUGUGUAUAUAUGGUUACCUAAAUGCUUUGGAC